rnacentral:rRNA from 1 species
UAGUCCACGCCGUAAACGAUGGUUACUAGCUGUUCGGUUUUCGGACUGAGUGGCUAAGCGAAAGUGAUAAGUAACCCACCUGGGGAGUACGUUCGCAAGAAUGAAACUCAAAGGAAUUGACGGGGGCCCGCACAAGCGGUGGAGCAUGUGGUUUAAUUCGAUGAUACGCGAGGAACCUUACCAGGGCUUAAAUGUAGUCUGACAGCUUUAGAGAUAGAGUUUUCUUCGGACAGAUUACAAGGUGCUGCAUGGUUGUCGUCAGCUCGUGCCGUGAGGUGUCAGGUUAAGUCCUAUAACGAGCGCAACCCCUGUUGUUAGUUGCCAGCAUGUAAAGAUGGGAACUCUAACAAGACUGCCGGUGCAAACCGUGAGGAAGGUGGGGAUGACGUCAAAUCAUCACGGCCCUUAGUCCUGGGGCUACACACGUGCUACAAUGGUAGGUACAGAGGGGCAGCCACUGCGUGAGC